GACGAACGCUGGCGGCAUGCCUAACACAUGCAAGUCGAGCGCAGCGGCGGACGGGUGAGUAAUGCCUAGGAAUUAGCCUGUUAGUGAGGUAUAACGUCCGGAGACGGGCGCUAUUACCGCAUACUAUCAGGUGGGCUUCGGUCGUAUUAGCUAGUUGGUGGGGUAAAGGCCUACCAAGGCGACGAUCAGUAGCGGGUCCGAGAGGACGAUCCGCCACACGGGGACGGAGACACGGCCCAGACGCCUACGGGAGGCAGCAGUGGGGAAUGUUGGGCAAUGGGCGAAAGCCUGAUCCAGCCACGCCGCGUGUGUGAAGAAGGCCUUCGGGUUGUAAAGGACUUUUGUCAGGGAAGCGGUACCUGAAGAAUAAGCACCGGCUAACUACGUGCCAGCAGCCGCGGUAAUAC
rnacentral:rRNA from 1 species